ensembl:lncRNA
AUGUUCAAAUUCGUGGCGCGUAAACAGAGCUUCACCUCUCCAACACGGCGUGGGUGAUUUUCAUCUUGACGAAAGAAAAGUUUAUUACCGUCAGCAGUGUAUUGUGGGCAACUUUAAUCUUAUUUUAUUUAAGGCGCAUGUGAGCAGGAGUGAAGUGAGAGAGGAUGAAGAAAAGCGCGAAGUUGUCUGCAGUCCAGCGCGACAGCGAGGACUGGCUCGACACUUCCGAACUUCAGGCUAAAAAACAGGUACCAUGUGAGCGGCCGCGUUCAUAUAAUAAUAUCACUAACAUAUCAAAUUACUAACUGACAGUGAUUUUAUGUCUUAGUUGAGCAUAAGUGUUGAUUGUUUGAUGCUCGGAGCGUUCAGCCGCUUCAUCGCCUACUUUCUCAUCCCUCCGUCAGCAGAGGCGCCGUCUGCUGAGCCACGCACAGGCCAAAUUCCGCACGGCGCCGCCGGCCCGACAGAUGUCCAUCUUGUCGGCGUUCUUCAGGCGACGGCGUGACGAGGAACAUUCAAAAAUACGAGAAUCCUUUGUGCAGACUGAUGUCCUGCCAAAAGGGCUUCUGGCAUCACCUGAAGAGAGGCACACGGCAACAAAACACAGAUGUCAUCCAUUAGAGGAGUGGUCCUUGUCCCAAGUUGAACCUUGCACCAGGUCACCAGUGAUGCACACAGAGAUGGUGGAAAGGACUGCUGGGCGUAGCUGUGGCUCACCAGCAUGCAUCCAGACAAAGCCUGAAACAACCCAAAAUUUACCAUGGCCACAGGCUGAAGUUUGGAACUUGUGUGCCAAUCAGGAAAUAGUCACCUCUGUAUACAGGUCUUGUGCAAAGCACUCUGGGAAAGAAAACUGCCCGUUACCCACACCAGCAAUAAAGUAUGUGCAGCGGGGCAGGUCUCCUUCCCGUAGCCCUGCCCACAAGGCUGCACCCUGUGUGCUGAGAGCUCAUUCACCAAGGAUGCCAAUAUGUGACCCUUCAAAUGAGGCUAAAGCCCCGGAUGCGCUAUUUACUCAGGACUCGGAGGGCUUCAGAGUAAUCACACACCGGGGUGACCUGUCACAAAGCCCGCUGAGGGACCUGGCCAUCCACAUCAGCAUGGGCGCAGCACCUGAUCUCCUGCUGGCAAACUCACAGUUGGAGGAGACAGAAUCAGAGCCUGAGGCUGCAGCAUUGUUUACUCAGGACUCCCAGGGCAAUCGAGUGAUUAAGCACUGAGCAGCUCACCCCUCCAGUUUCAUAUAAUAAUAUCACUAACUAACAUAUCAAAUUACUAACUGGCAGUGAUUUUGUGUCUUAGUUGAGCAGAAGUGUUGACUGUUUGAUUAAUAUGUUUAUUUUGUGUUUUGAUGCAUUCUCAAUAUAACAGAGAAGACACUAUGAACACGUAAUAUUUGGUACAGGAACAAUUACAGUUUCCUGUAGAUCUUGACCAGGUUUGCACACACUGCAGCAGGGAUUUUGGCCCAUUCCUCCAUACAGACCUUCAGAUCAUUCAGGUUUUGGGACUGUUUGAUUUAGGUCAUUGUCCAGAACACCUAGAUUUGUCAAAAAUUGGUUUUAUCUUCUGGUUUCUUCUGAGGAUAGAACCCCCUCUGUUCUGGCCACAGGCGUUUAUCUGAUUUUAGCAAAUCUUAACUGUUACUGGAGUGAGAUGAGUCUCUGAUGAUCCUGAUUGUUCUGUGUUUAUAUGCUUUCUGCAGCACCACAGUAAAAAAAUCGUUUGGAUUGCGUGGUAUAGACACUGUCUUGCUUUUUUGCCAUGCUUAGUCCAGGUCAGGUCCUCUGAGAUGUGAACAACCAGGUACUUGAAACAAAAUGGCUGAUCCACAUCUGCCAACUAGCUGUUCUAGUCUACAGUGGGUUGCAAAAGUAUUCAGCCCCCUUGAACUUUUCCACAUUUUGUCACAUUGCAGCCACAAACAUGAAUCUAUUUUAUUUGAAUUCCACAUGAAAGAAGC